CCGUUCCCAUACCGAACACGGCAGUUAAGCUUCUCAGUGCCGAUGAUACUUGGCUGGUGACGGCCCGGGAAAGCAGGUCUCUGCCAGAU
rnacentral:rRNA from 1 species